rnacentral:rRNA from 1 species
GGGGAAUUUUCCGCAAUGGGCGAAAGCCUGACGGAGCAAUACCGCGUGAGGGAGGAAGGCUCUAGGGUUGUAAACCUCUUUUCUCAGGGAAGAACAAAAUGACGGUACCUGAGGAAUAAGCAUCGGCUAACUCCGUGCCAGCAGCCGCGGUAAUACGGAGGAUGCAAGCGUUAUCCGGAUUUAUUGGGCGUAAAGCGUCCGCAGGUGGCAGUUCAAGUCUGCUGUCAAAGGUCGGGGCUCAACCCCGAACAGGCAGUGGAAACUGAACAGCUAGAGUACGGUAGGGGCAGAGGGAAUUCCCAGUGUAGCGGUGAAAUGCGUAGAGAUUGGGAAGAACACCGGUGGCGAAAGCGCUCUGCUAGGCCGAAACUGACACUCAUGGACGAAAGCUAGGGGAGCGAAUGGGAUUAGAUACCCCAGUAGUCCUAGCCGUAAACGAUGGAUACUAGGCGUUGUGAGUAUCGACCCUCACAGUGUCGUAGCUAACGCGUUAAGUAUCCCGCCUGGGGAGUACGCGCGCAAGCGUGAAACUCAAAGGAAUUGACGGGGGCCCGCACAAGCGGUGGAGUAUGUGGUUUAAUUCGAUGCAACGCGAAGAACCUUACCAGGGCUUGACAUGUCGCGAAUUUCAGGGAAACUUGAGAGUGCCUUCGGGAGCGCGAACACAGGUGGUGCAUGGCUGUCGUCAGCUCGUGUCGUGAGAUGUUGGGUUAAGUCCCGCAACGAGCGCAACCCUCGUUUUUAGUUGCCAGCAUUAAGUUGGGCACUCUAGAGAGACUGCCGGUGACAAACCGGAGGAAGGUGGGGAUGACGUCAAGUCAGCAUGCCCCUUACGUCCUGGGCUACACACGUACUACAAUGCWUACGGACAAAGGGCAGCAAGUUAGCGAUGACAAGCAAAUCCCAUAAACCGUGGCUCAGUUCAGAUUGCAGGCUGCAACUCGCCUGCAUGAAGGUGGAAUCGCUAGUAAUUGCAGGUC